rnacentral:lncRNA from 1 species
GCUAGCUUAGUGUGAUUCCGUAGUGUCGUUCCAAGAACUUGAAUUAGCUAGCGUGCAACUAUAGUAUUCCUAACAAGGAAAAUACUUAUAAGUUUCUAAUUAAACGUAGAUAAACUACGUGUCCGAGCUCUACCGAGUCGUAAAUAAAACGACUCCACGAUGGUGUUGUUAGUUUGACUUAGAAUAACCGAUCAAUGGUUAUUUGAUCUCGUUUAUAAUUGGGAUAAAACUAAGUCUCGAGAUCGACUUAGUUUUCGAGUGAUUAAGAUAUAUAUUUAUAUAUAUUCGAAUAUAAAUAUAUACCUGCGAUGCCAUGUUGGUUGUCGUAAAUUAGAAAUCGUAGGUGAAUAGUAGUACAGCUCUUUCGAAGUGUCGUAUAUGACACCGUACUACGCCAUUGUAGUUUUCGUAGGAUGGAAAUGGAUAGAGAUAUACAUAUAUAUAUAUAUAUAUAUAUUCAAAACUCGAUGUUUGAAAUGAAUAUAAUCGACUAUACUCAUUUUAUAAAAAUAUACGUAUUCUAGACGAUUAAAAUAAAUAUAAAUAAUUAUAUUUAUUUUUUUAUGAUUUUCCGAAUAUUAAAUGUUUGAAAUAGCUUACGAAUUUCAUCGUUUGAAAUAAAUAUAAAACAUUAUAUUUAUUUUUAUAAAAGUAUACGAAGCACGUUGUUUGAAAUAAGUAUAACUAAUGAUACUUAUGUCGUAAAAGCAUUCGAGUUUCAAUGCGUUUCGAAAUACAUAUAAAUUUUCGAGUUUCGUUGAUUAGUAUUCCGUUUGUUCUUCGUGUCGAAACGCCGAAAAGGGUUUACUGAGCUGACCGAGUCAACCGGGUUGACCCGCUGAGUUGACUUGCUAUGUUGACUGAGUUUGACCGGGUUGACUCGGUUUGACCGAGUCAACCGAACCGAAGCUGAAUCUGAC